GACGAACGCUGGCGGCGUGCCUAAUACAUGCAAGUCGAACGCACAGUUUAUACCGUUGCUUGCUACACCAUAGCCUGUGAGUUGCGAGUGGGUGAGUAAUGCGUAGGUAAUCUGCCUGGUAGCGGGGGAUGACUAUUGGAAACGAUAGCUAAUACCGCAUAAUAUUAAUUAUUCCAUGAUAAUUAAUUGAAAGGUGCAAUUGCACCACUACCAGAUGGACCUGCGGUGUAUUAGCUAGUAGGGGAGGUAACGGCUCACACAGGGCAAGAUACAUAGCCGACCUUGAAGGGGUGUCGGCCCCACUGGGACCUGGACACGGCCCAGACUCCUACGGGAGGCAGCAGUAGGGAAUCCUCGGCAAUGGAGGGAAGUCCUACCGAGCAACCGCGCGUGAGUGAAGAAAGUUUUCGGAUCGUAAAACUCUGUUUUAAGAGAAGAACGAGUGGGGGAGUGGAAAGUUCACACUGUGACGGUACCUAACCAGAAAGCGACGGCUAACUACGUG
rnacentral:rRNA from 1 species